GACAGAGGGUGCAAACGUUGCUCGGAAUUACUGGGCGUAAAGCGCGUGUAGGCUGACCGGAAAGUCGGGCGUGAAAUCCCUGAGCUCAACUCAGGAACUGCACUCGAAACUCCCGGUCUAGAGUGGUGGAGAGGGAAGUGGAAUUCCUGGUGUAGAGGUGAAAUUCGUAGAUAUCAGGAGGAACACCAGUGGCGAAGGCGGCUUCCUGGACACCAACUGACGCUGAGACGCGAAAGCGUGGGGAGCAAACAGG
rnacentral:rRNA from 1 species